ensembl:lncRNA
CCAGGUAUGAGUAUUAACUUUUAGAAGAUAUCAAAACUAGUAUUCACUCCUUUUUGAAUGCUUCAGAAGGUGGAAGGCAGACAAAGAACCAACAGAAACAAUAAGUGACAAGGAUACAGAAAAGACAUAGAAAAAAAUGACACAACAGGAGAGAAACUACGUAUCACCAUUUUAUUAUCUCUGUGUUGUGUUCAGCUUUCCAUAGGGAAUAUCAGUGAGAAAUUGUACCAUGAACCCAACUGAGGGAUAUAAAAUUGCUCUAACAUUUAAGUUAGGAACUCUAUAACCAAGCCAGCAGAAACAUACCCAGAAUAAAAAUUCAUGAGAUUAAAAGGACAUCAUUCUGAGAAAACCAAAUAAAAACAUGCCAGACUGUGAUUAAUGGUUAUAAUCAAUGGAGUACAGCUGAUCUUGAUAAUUCAGCAAUGGGGGCUGGGCCUCGACUGUGUUGAUGUUAAUUAUGUUUUCAUUUAGCUUGCUUUUUGUGUUAAUUUAAUAGUGGUAGAGGAUAUUAAUGCUGUUACAGCUAAAGCAAUAUCCUAAUGGCUGAAUUAGAUUAUGGCCUUAAUAUGAAUUUCUACCCGUGUGAGCGCUUGAAUUUCCAUUCUGUGAAACUCUCCAAAGCAGAUUCCUAAGAUAAACCUGUGGAGAUUCAUAUCACACUCAGAUAUGUGCACAUGCAUUGGAACAUCAUUCAUACACUGAGACUGCAUUACUUAACAUUCUUGUCAGGAAAUAUUUCUAGACUGAUGGUGUCCUUGCUUGUUUGUGUUAUAGUCUAUGUGUUAGAAAAGGAAUUGUUCAGUGGUUAUUUUUUUGCUUUACCAGAAGUUGGACAAAUGAAUGCAAUAGCUCUGUUAAGGAAGCACGGACUCUUGGGGAGCCAGGAAGACCAAAACAUUUGAAAUAAAUGCAGAAGAGUCUGCACAAACCUCUGUAAAAGGAUAUGGGAUACUGAGAAUGAAGCAAUACAUUGCUUGGAAGGAUUGCACUAAAAAAUAGUUUGGCUAAUCGAAUCUAGUGCAAGAAAGGAGUUAAAUCACUCUAUACCCCUUCCAAUGACAAUAACUAAAGAGACAUCUCUGGUGUUGUAGUUACUCAUAUUCUGUGAGAUGUACAACUAAAUAUGUUAACCAGUAGGAUUCUUAUUCUUAUUCUUAUUCUUAUUCUUAUUCUCCUUCUCCUGUAUCUCACUAUUAGAAAUGGUUUCUACACUACAGUCAAAAUUCAAUUUUUUUUUUUUUUAAUUACAUCUUUGUUAUCCUUAUUUUUGUUUCUCUUUUUGUGGUGUUAAUCUUCUUGAACCUAUUGUAGAAUAAAGCCAUGGCUUUUAAAUAAAACGUAAGGGCUAUUAUUCUUUGAUUUUGUCAUUUAUCUUUUCAGUUGUUAAAUUAUUUUAACUU